rnacentral:rRNA from 1 species
UACAGAGGGUGCGAGCGUUAAUCGGAAUUACUGGGCGUAAAGCGUGCGCAGACGGUCCUCUAAGUUUGGUGUGAAAUCUCCCGGGCUCAACCGGGAGGGUGCGCCGAAAACUGGAGGGCUCGAGUGUGGGAGAGGUAAGCGGAAUUCCUGGUGUAGCGGUGAAAUGCGUAGAUAUCAGGAGGAACACCUGUGGUGUAGACGGCUUACUGGACCAUUACUGACGCUGAGGAGCGAAAGCCAGGGAGCAAACGGG